AUUGAACGCUGGCGGCAUGCCUUACACAUGCAAGUCGAACGGUAACAGGCCGCAAGGUGCUGACGAGUGGCGAACGGGUGAGUAACGCAUCGGAACGUGCCCAGUCGUGGGGGAUAACGCAGCGAAAGCUGUGCUAAUACCGCAUACGAUCUGCGGAUGAAAGCGGGGGACCUUAGGGCCUCGCGCGAUUGGAGCGGCCGAUGUCAGAUUAGGUAGUUGGUGGGGUAAAGGCCCACCAAGCCAACGAUCUGUAGCUGGUCUGAGAGGACGACCAGCCACACUGGGACUGAGACACGGCCCAGACUCCUACGGGAGGCAGCAGUGGGGAAUAUUGCACAAUGGGGGAAACCCGUGAUGCAGCCAUGCCGCGUGUGUGAAGAAGGCCUUC
rnacentral:rRNA from 1 species